rnacentral:rRNA from 1 species
UACGGAGGGGGCUAGCGUUAUUCGGAAUUACUGGGCGUAAAGCGCACGUAGGCGGCUAUUCAAGUCAGAGGUGAAAGCCCGGAGCUCAACUCCGGAACUGCCUUUGAAACUAGAUAGCUAGAAUCACGGAGAGGUAAGUGGAAUUCCGAGUGUAGAGGUGAAAUUCGUAGAUAUUCGGAAGAACACCAGUGGCGAAGGCGGCUUACUGGACGUGUAUUGACGCUGAGGUGCGAAAGCGUGGGGAGCAAACAGG